rnacentral:misc_RNA from 1 species
AAGUCGUAACAAGGUUUCCGUAGGUGAACCUGCGGAAGGAUCAUUAAUGAAAUGCAAGGACGCUCUUUUUAGAGGUCCGACCCAAUUCAUUUUCUCACACUGUGCACAUUACACUUUUUUUACACCAUUUUUAACACUUAAAGUCUAAGAAUGUAAUCUGUCUCUUAAUUGAGCAUAAAAUUGAAACAAAACUUUCAGCAACGGAUCUCUUGGUUCUC